UCAAUGAAGUCUCCCUGGGUCUCUUUAUAUAGGACUUGAUUGGGCUUGGACUCUGAAUAUUCAGUUGACAGAAUCUUUUAUCUUAUAUCUUCCAAAUAACUAAAAGAUUUAGAUACUUAUAACAUUAUUUGGAAGAUAUUUUCUGUUGAUAUUGCCAAAUUUAAUUAAUUCAACAACUGAAUUUUAUCUUUUAGCUUUUUUGUCUUUCCAAAAUUGCACAAAUGCUUUGAAAUUUCCAUUUUCUGCACUUUAACCCCUCCUGAAUUUACCCAAAUUGCAUAAAAGUCCCUGUUUGACCAACUUUGACCAAAGAAGUCUUGUUGCCAGCUUUGACUGAAGAGCAAAAGGUGGCCAAUGAAAUGCUGCCACAUGGCAUUCCCUUUCCCACCCAAAAUUAGGGUUUCAAAUUGGAGAAAAGGGAAAACUUGUGCCUCUGCGCCACUACGAAGGUUGCUCUUGGUUACUCUGGUUUUCUGCAGGUUACAAUUGUGUUCUCUGGUUGGCGGCCAUGGAGAAGCUCGCGCGAGGAUGGUGAUGAGCUUUGUGCACGACAGAGAUGGAAGUUUGGCGAUUUUUAUGGUUUUCGCGGCGUUGUAGGGUUCGAAGCGAAUUGGGUCUAUGUGAUGGUGUUGGUCUGAUUUUCCUGAGUGCAGGUGCGAAUCGUUGGCAGCAGCGUUGAUGAGGAGACGGUGCGCAAUGAUGAUGGUGGCCUAAAGUCGCUAUUGGGUGUUGGCUCAUGAUGGAGGUUGCUGCUAGCGGCGUGAUUUCGAGGAAGAAGAUGGUGCGCUGGAGACGUAAGAACGUAUACCACCUAAGGAUAGCGAGGUAGGACGAUCAAUUAUUUUUGCUUCUUUUCGGUAAUGCAUUGCUAAUUGCUAGGGGAGGCUAGGGAUAGCAAGCCGGUAAUUAGUAAUAGGCUCUUUUCGCCGAGGGAUCGGGUUAAGGGUAGGCCAAGAAAGUUUGCAUAACAAUUAGAUAAUCAAGCACAUUAAACAAGAGGAGUAGAUAAGAGGGAGCGGAUAAGAUGAAAUUGUCAACCCCCAACAACUCCAUUCAUCCAUAGUCUUUUUUCUACUCAACUGAAUCAAAGCAUUGCAUGUUUAUUUUAUGUUUUUGCAUCCACAACAAUUAAUUUUUCUCUCCAAGUCUUACGAUUUCAAUUCACACGAACGAUAAGGCCUUUCGAG
rnacentral:lncRNA from 1 species